AAGGAAUAUUGGUCAAUGGACGCAAGUCUGAACCAGCCAUGCCGCGUGAAGGAUGAAGGUCCUCUGGAUUGUAAACUUCUUUUAUCUGGGACGAAAACGGGAUUUUUAUCUCAAUUGACGGUACCAGAGGAAUAAGCACCGGCUAACUCUGUGCCAGCAGCCGCGGUAAUACGGAGGGUGCGAGCGUUAUCCGGAUUUACUGGGUUUAAAGGGUGCGUAGGUGGGCUUAUAAGUCAGUGGUGAAAUCUCCGAGCUUAACUUGGAAACUGCCGUUGAUACUAUAGGUCUUGAAUUAUCUGGAGGUAAGCGGAAUAUGUCAUGUAGCGGUGAAAUGCUUAGAUAUGACAUAGAACACCAAUUGCGAAGGCAGCUUACUACAUAUAAAUUGACGCUGAGGCACGAAAGCGUGGGGAUCAAACA
rnacentral:rRNA from 1 species